GUGAAAAAGGGGGCUGGGGGUUUAGCUCAGUGGUGUUGAGCCUGCCUUGAAGUCAAAAGGUCCUGAAUUCGAUCCCUGGUUGGGGGUGUGGAUAGUGAAUUAGGGUCAAAUGAGAUCUGUGGCUGGGCUCUAAUCUACAUGACUGUUUUUGGAGAUAAGGCUGCUAAAAGGUAGAGGAAUUAAAGUAAUCUCUUAGGGUGGGGCCCUGAUACCAUGUGUCUGGGGCCCUUACAAUAAAAGAAAAUUCUGAAUGUCCUAAAUUUAAUUACAAAGGUCCAGAGGAUGCAAGGGAGGAGGCGGGAAGUAUGUGUGUGUGUGUGGGGGGGGGUGUUAGUUAAUCUGUUAACAAGCUACAGGCUGAAAAUAAUAACAAGGCUUUUCAUACUCUUAAAUGUACAUGAAAACCUUAACCCCAACCCUAUUGUGACUCCCUAGGUGUCACUGCAUUCUGUUUAUGACCCCACCCAGUCCAGAAGCAACACUCACUCCUCCUUCCUGACUCCCCCACAUCCCAAAGCUUUUCUGUUUUGUCCAGUCCUGAUCCUCUCAUCUGUAACCUGUUUAAAUUCAACCUAAACACCUUGUGCUUUCCAUCUCCUGCUUUUCAUUAUUGAAACAUGCUCCUAGGUCUGGUCCAGAGGACAGUUUUCCAGCUGCUCCCUAGCCUUGUUGCUGGGGCUAUGGGAACAUGUCACAAGACUGGUCUUUACUUCUGGGCUGGCAUCUCCAGUGGUACAAAAAGCCCGUUUUCUUUUGGAGAUCUCUGACUCAAGAGUUUUGGUUUAACUUUUAUUAAGAAGCUAUCUGGAUAAAGAGACAUUUACAAGCUGAGAAAGGAGUAUGGGAGGACACACCAAGAAAGUGCCCACCUACAAGCUAAGGAGAGAGGCCUCAGGAGAAACCAGACCUGAUAUUGUCACCCUGGUGUUGGGCUCAUCAGCCUCCAGAACUGUGAGAAAAUAAAUUUCUUGUUCAUGGUAUCUAGUCUGUGGUAUUUUGUUAUGAUAGCCCCAGCAGACUGAUAUAGGCCAUCUAUGUUUUUGAUCUUUGCAUUAAUUUUAGCAUGCAAUCCCUGGUAGCAAUUUCAGUCCUUAGAACAAGUCAAAAUUUGGGAUUGGACUACUGCUCAUGAUCCAUUUGACUUUGGAUGACUAGGCUCAGUCUAACAUAGGAAUUCCGUGUUCCACUUAGCUUAGCAAUGGGCAUGAUCUAAUCCUAGGAUAAAGUCCAGAAACAAACCAUUCCCCAAAUUCACUGUAAGAUUAGCAGUUUUCUUUGCUCAUGUAUUGUGAGACCAAAGUGACUCCAUUUUGUUAAAAUCUUCCAUUCUCCCUGGUUUUUAUUACCCUCACACAAAUAAUGGUUAAAAUGUGUUUGCUCUGAGACAGGAGACAAUCUGUAACAGGACAAGAUUCCUAAGUUUAUUACUCAGCCAUCUGUUUACCCUAGAAACAAAUGUUCUG
rnacentral:lncRNA from 1 species